rnacentral:miRNA from 1 species
GUGAGUAGUGGCGCGCGGCGGCCCGGAGUACCGCCGCCGCGCGCGUCUGCUCACCGUGC